rnacentral:lncRNA from 1 species
CAACUCUGCAGGAAGUUUCUGCCAUGCUGGUUAUGGAACAUCUGAUCCCAAACAGCUACAGAGCUGCCCCUUAGCCAGGCCCCGGCCCCCGGCCGUGCUUCGUGCUCGUGGUGUGUGGAGCUGGGCUGUGCAUAAGGUCCUCAGGUGCUCAAGUGAGAGAAACGUGUGCUUAUCAUGUGCAGUAUUAUCUCCUGUGCUCUCUAAAUACCUCUUUGGUGACAAAAGUUCAUUGCGAGGGACCUCUGGAGAUCGUCUGUUUUAACUUCCCAUGUGAAGUGAAACUGCUGCUGGUGCUGGACCAGACCCGGUUUAUGGAACUGCUGGCAGUAGCUGCAGAUCUAUUUGAAUCAAAAUGAAAGCUGAUGGAAGAAAUCAAAAAUGCAGUGCAGCAGCUCAGUGUUGAUGCAUACCAGGGAUGGUAAAGACCACAUCAAGGAGUGGGCAGGAUUCUUAUAUUGGCUUUCUGAUUGUUAUUCUAAGCUGUGGAUAGAAGAACAACACAC